rnacentral:rRNA from 1 species
AGUGAACGCUGGCGGUAGGCCUAACACAUGCAAGUCGAACGGCAGCACAGGAGAGCUUGCUCUCUGGGUGGCGAGUGGCGGACGGGUGAGGAACACAUCGGAAUCUACUCUGUCGUGGGGGAUAACGUAGGGAAACUUACGCUAAUACCGCAUACGACCUACGGGUGAAAGCAGGGGACCUUCGGGCCUUGCGCGAUUGAAUGAGCCGAUGUCGAAUUAGCUAGUUGGCGGGGUAAAGGCCCACCAAGGCGACGAUCCGUAGCUGGUCUGAGAGGAUGAUCAGCCACACUGGAACUGAGACACGGUCCAGACUCCUACGGGAGGCAGCAGUGGGGAAUAUUGGACAAUGGGCGCAAGCCUGAUCCAGCCAUACCGCGUGGGUGAAGAAGGCCUUCGGGUUGUAAAGCCCUUUUGUUGGGAAAGAAAUCCAGCUGGCUAAUACCCGGUUGGGAUGACGGUACCCAAAGAAUAAGCACCGGCUAACUUCGUGCCAGCAGCCGCCGUAA